rnacentral:rRNA from 1 species
GUCCACGCUGUAAACGAUGGGUACUAGGUGUUCGGGGUAUUGACCCCCUGAGUGCCGCAGCUAACGCAUUAAGUACCCCGCCUGGGGACUACGGCCGCAAGGUUAAAACUCAAAGGAAUUGACGGGGGCCCGCACAAGCGGUGGAGCAUGUGGUUCAAUUCGACGCAACGCGAAGAACCUUACCUGGGCUAGACAACACCGGACAACCCCGGAAACGGGGUCUUCCCGCAAGGGACUGGUGGUUCAGGUGCUGCAUGGCUGUCGU